rnacentral:lncRNA from 1 species
CAGACCCAAGAGGCUCGAAUACCACAGAGAACAUACCAUAGAUGGAUACCAACAGAGAACAUACCAUAGAGGCGAUACCUACAGAGAACCAGACCAUAGAAGGUGAUACCAACAGAGAACCAGACCAUAGAGGGAUACCUACAGAGAACCAGACCAUAGAGGGAUACCUUACAGAGAACCAGACCAUUAGCGGGAUGAUACCAACAGAGAAACCCCCGGACCAUAGAGGGAUACCUACAGAGAACCAGGACUAAUAGACUGGAUACCAACAGAGAAACCAGACCAUAGAGGGAUACCUACAGAGAACAGACCAUAGAGGGCUACCACAGAGAACCAGACCAUAGAGGGAUACGAUACCAAAGAGAAACAGACAUAGAGGGAUACCUACAGCGAACCAGAC